rnacentral:rRNA from 1 species
AUUGAACGCUGGCGGAAUGCUUUACACAUGCAAGUCGAACGGCAGCACGGGUGCUUGCACCUGGUGGCGAGUGGCGAACGGGUGAGUAAUGCACCGGAACGUAUCCAAUAAUGGGGGAUAACGCACCGAAAGGUGUGCUAAUACCGCAUACGCCCUGAGGGGGAAAGCGGGGGAUCGUAAGACCUCGCGUUAAUGGAGCGGCCGAUGCCGGAUUAGCUAGUUGGUGAGGUAAAGGCUCACCAAGGCGACGAUCCGUAGCUGGUCUGAGAGGACGACCAGCCACACUGGAACUGAGACACGGUCCAGACUCCUACGGGAGGCAGCAGUGGGGAAUUUUGGACAAUGGGCGCAAGCCUGAUCCAGCCAUGCCGCGUGAGUGAAGAAGGCCUCGGUUGUAAGACUCUUC